GAUGAAGAACGCAGCGAAAUGCGAUAAGUAGGGUGAAUUGCAGAAUUCAGUGAAUCAUCGAAUCUUUGAACGCACAUUGCGCCCUUUGGUAUUCCUUAGGGCAUGCCUGUUCGAGCGUCAUUUAAACCUUCAAGCUAAGCUUGGUGUUGGGUGACUGUCCGCCUCACGGCGGACUCGCCUCAAAAUUAUUGGCGGCCGGUACAUUGGCUUCGAGCGCAGCAGAAACGCGAACUCGGGCCCGUCGUAUUGGCUCCCAGAAGCUAUCUUCACAAUUUUGACCUCGGAUCAGGUAGGGAUACCCGCUGAACUUAAGCAUAUCAAUAAGCGGAGGA
rnacentral:misc_RNA from 1 species